UGUGACCUCACUGGUGGGCACCUGCAGCUCCAUUUCUUUUGAGCUUCAGGGACUGACAUGACUGGAAGCCAACGCUACGUGUAUUUACUUCAUCUUCUGCUUCGAGCUCCAGCUGAGUGAGUGAAAUGUUGCCGAAGGUUUAUUUCGCCAUCCACUCUCUGGGCCUUGAUUGCCUUGUGUUUACCGUUACAACGCAGACGCAAUUCAGCAUAGCUUCCGGUUUCAUAUCACCGCACACAGGUGGCACAACACGCAGAUUGAACUGAAC